rnacentral:tRNA from 1 species
GCCCGAGUGGCGGAAUGGCAGACGCGAGCGGCUUAAAACCGCUUGCUCGAAAGGGCGUGCGGGUUCGAGUCCCGCCUCGGGCA